UCGUGGUGCCGCUUCGAUGGAUAAGCAGAGGUCGUCCCCUGGGUGGGACCGCGCUGAACCCACAAACCCUUGCCCUCGGUGGUCCUCGAAACAAAGCCGCCGCCGCGAGCAGCUAUACUCCAUCCCCACUGCCGUUCAAGUCUACGGCGGCUGAAUCUAACCAACAAUGGAAGAUAAUGUGAGUUCCUUCUCGACGCGGUUGACAGAUUUCCCCCUCCGUGAAGAAUUCGCGAACAUCCUAGACCACCGAGAUCCGGUUCCUCUGGCGGUUCUCUCGUGGAAUUGUGCGACAAGCGUUGAGCCGGCUGACUCAAAUGUUGGGUCCGGAUGCGGGCAGCGAGUGGGCGGCGUUAGCCUGGUGUGGGAAGAGGGCGGCGGGCGGCGACGCCGCGAGGCGUCUCCGACGAGGUCCGAACAGUUGACAAGAGGGUGAAUCCGGAGGCGCCAGGAUGAACAAUAAGUUGCGGUCUGAAACCAUUGCCGUGCAUCUAAUAUGAUUUUUUUUGUUGAUUGCUAGUCCGUUUGUCGAACUACAUACUUUAAUUGGCCGCCAUGAUCUCUGUGAUGGAAAAGAACACUAGUUUUUGUUUGAGAACAAACAAAAAUCACAGUUAUGCUGAAUUUUAGAAGCUGACAGAAGAGUAGUUACUGAAGUUGCGCGUGUCAAAUAGGUACAUGCAUGAUUCAGUAAUCCUAACGAAAUCAGAACUGGGAACGCAAAAUGUAGAACCCUGAGAAGUCAAGUUGUGGUUGAGAAAAAAGAGUAUGAGGCAUGAUUGUGUAUUCCAUGGCAAACCAUCCAUACAUAAAAUUGUCUUCCGUAUUUACCCCACGUUUGAUUUGGGUACAUGUCAACUUCUGAAUGUGUUGAAAAUAUCUUUCUUCCAAUAAUGCAAGCAUCCCACCAUGCCAAAUGUAUUUUGCAUCUGAUAUCCGACCCUCAUUCCGUCUGCUUAGCUUAAUAAUUAUGCGAAGUAUGCCUUCUGCGCCUCCUCCCCUGUUCCCUCGUGUUGAAACUGACCAAUGUUGUCUUUCUAUGGAAAUACAUGUUGCGUCUAGGGAGCAUGCUGCCAGACAGAACCCAUUUCCUUCAAGAAUGAGUGCCCUUGAGUAGUCAAUUCACAAGUAUGCGGAGAAACCGACAAAAAUGUGUGGUUUGUCCUGAACUAGGACUAAGUUUCGAUUCAAUUUGAGGCGUACAAUUUAUACAAUUUGUAUUCGUGGCAGAUUGGCUUUGGGAUAAGAUAUGGGAAAAGCAGAUUGAACGCAGAGAGGACCAAAUCAAUGCAGGAGAUUGUCUGCGUCUGCUCGGGAAGCCAGAGGCUGAGAAUAGCAGGUUGUGUAGAUGCGAGUGACCUGCUUUGAGGAUGUACAUUUCUGAAAACCGUGUUUUGCUGUCACAGUUCAUGGAUGUACUUCACUUAGAGGAGAUUCCUGUUAAGCAUAUUGUCAAGCGGUGGACCAAGGACGUGAAGAACAUUCAGUUAACUUGUCUUUCACGUGCAGACAUUCGACGCUAUAUAUGAAAGCUAUGGAUGUCAUGAUGAUGGGGAUGCGAGUGCAGAGUCAUUCGAGCACAUGUUAGCUAGUCUGAAUGAUUGUUGGUUACUAGUGCACCGUUUGCAGAGAAGAGAGAUUGUUUGGCUUUUGAAGACCGAUUGGCAAAGGUCUUGCAGUCCCGGAUAAGCAGAGGGGUUGGAAGGCCGACAGAUACUGGAGAAGGCACCUUACGAGGGUCUGAGCAAAUGGACAAAGUUCUGCAGCUUUUGCCGGCGCGAGGGACACAAGUGAACAACCUGCCCUGGGAUGCACCGAAGAAGCCGUGCAAACCCUGGAAAAUGCAAGAACUAUGGUAUGGUAGGCCAUCACUGGAACAUAUGUACCAGGCCGCUGGGAAUUGCUGAAAAAAUGGGA